CAGAAGAUGUUCAUGGUUUGACUUUCUACUGGAGUCGUGUCAAUAUAUAUAUAUAAUAGAUCAGGAUUCUUCUACACAACAGAAGAUGUUCAUGGUUUGACUUUCUACUGGAGUCGUGUCAAUAUAUAUAUAUAAUAGAUCAGGAUUCUUCUACACAACAGAAGAUGUUCAUGGUUUGACUUUCUACUGGAGUCGUGUCAAUAUAUAUAUAAUAGAUCAGGAUUCUUCUACACAACAGAUGAUGUUCAUGGUUUGACUUUCUACUGGAGUCGGUGUCAAUAUAUAUAUAAUAGAUCAGGAUUCUUCUACACAACAGAAGAUGUUCAUGGUUUGACUUUCUACUGGAGUCGUGUCAAUAUAUAUAUAAUAGAUCAGGAUUCUUCUACACAACAGAUGAUGUUCAUGGUUUGACUUUCUACUGGAGUCGUGUCAAUAUAUAUAUAAUAGAUCAGGAUUCUUCUACACAACAGAAGAUGUUCAUGGUUUGACUUUCUACUCGAGUCGUGUCAAUAUAUAUAUAAUAGAUCAGGAUUCUUCUACACAACAGAUGAUGUGAAUGUUUCUGCACUUCACUCAUUUAUUCAAGAGUGAAGAUUGAUGAAGAUGAUGAAGAGGAUGAAGAUGUGUGACGGAUCAAAUGUGGAUCAUCAGAAGAUCAAUCAUGAGCACAAACAGAAACACUCACAAUCUAAUGAAUCAACUGAGAAAACAUCAAUUAAACUUCAGCGUCGAAACAGCAAAGAUAUAAUUUCAGAAUUCUCUCAUGAUCCACACAAAUCUGAGAGUCAUUCAAUGAGAGAUAUUGACGUCCAGACGGCAUUCUGGGUCACGUCAUCAGAGCAUACGUGACCCAACUGCUGGUGUUUUAUACAGACAUCAUCAACCCGUCCCUCUCCUUGUCUGUAGUCCCCACAUGCUUUAAAACAUCCUCCAUUGUGCCCGUACCAAAUCAAUCCAAAAUCACUUGUUUAAAUGACUGACGUCCUGUUGCUCUGACCCCAUCAUCAGCAAAUGCUUUGAGAGACUAAUCAGAGAUCACAUCUGCUCUGUGCUGCCCGCCUCACUGGACCAACAACCGCUCCACUGAUGAUGUCAUUGAUCUACACUACACACUGAUCUCUCACACCUGGAGAAAAGGAACACAUAUGUGAGAAUGCUGUUUGUAGACUACAGCUCAUCAUUCAACACCAUAGUGUCCUCCAAGCUUGAUGAGAAACUCCGG